rfam:Stegodyphus mimosarum contig32333, whole genome shotgun sequence.
GCCUACGUGGUGUAAUGGUCAGCACAUCUGGCUCGUAUCGAGAAGUCCGAGGUUCAAGUCCCGGCGAGGGCA